rnacentral:rRNA from 1 species
GACGAACGCUGGCGGCGUGCCUAAUACAUGCAAGUAGAACGCUGAAGGAGGAGCUUGCUUCUCUGGAUGAGUUGCGAACGGGUGAGUAACGCGUAGGUAACCUGCCUGGUAGCGGGGGAUAACUAUUGGAAACGAUAGCUAAUACCGCAUAAUAGUAGAUGUUGCAUGACAUUUGCUUAAAAGGUGCAAUUGCAUCACUACCAGAUGGACCUGCGUUGUAUUAGCUAGUUGGUGGGGUAACGGCUCACCAAGGCGACGAUACAUAGCCGACCUGAGAGGGUGAUCGGCCACACUGGGACUGAGACACGGCCCAGACUCCUACGGGAGGCAGCAGUAGGGAAUCUUCGGCAAUGGACGGAAGUCUGACCGAGCAACGCCGCGUGAGUGAAGAAGGGUGUCGGAUCGUAAAGCUCUGUUGUAAGAGAAGAACGAGAGUGAGAGUGGAAAGUUCACACUGUGACGGUAUCUUACCAGAAAGGGACGGCUAACUACGUG